rnacentral:rRNA from 1 species
CCUACGGGAGGCAGCAGGGAGGAAUAGUGGGCAAUGGACGAGAGUCUGAACCAGCCAAGGAGCGGGAAGGAUGACUGCCCUAUGGGUUGUAAACUUCUUUUAUAUGGGAAUAAAAUGUCCCACGUGUGCGCUUUUGUAUGUACCAUAUGAAUAAGGAUCGGCUAACUCCGUGCCAGCAGCCGCGGUAAUACGGAGGAUCCGAGCGUUAUCCGGAUUUAUUGGGUUUAAAGGGAGCGUAGGUGGUGUGUUAAGUCAGUUGUGAAAGUUUGCGGCUCAACCGUAAAAUUGCAGUUGAUACUGGCAGUCUUGAGUACAGUAGAGGUGGGCGGAAUUCGUGGUGUAGCGGUGAAAUGCUUAGAUAUCACGAAGAACUCCGAUUGCGAAGGCAGCUCACUGGACUGCAACUGACACUGAGGCUCGAAAGUGUGGGUAUCAAACAGGAUUAGAUACCCUUGUAGUC